rnacentral:rRNA from 1 species
GGGUUGUGAGGUUAAGCGACUAAGCGUACACGGUGGAUGCCCUGGCAGUCAGAGGCGAUGAAGGACGUGCUAAUCUGCGAUAAGCGUCGGUAAGGUGAUAUGAACCGUUAUAACCGGCGAUUUCCGAAUGGGGAAACCCAGUGUGAUUCGUCACACUAUCAUUAACUGAAUCCAUAGGUUAAUGAGGCGAACCGGGGGAACUGAAACAUCUAAGUACCCCGAGGAAAAGAAAUCAACCGAGAUUCCCCCAGUAGCGGCGAGCGAACGGGGAGCAGCCCAGAGCCUGAAUCAGUGUGUGUGUUAGUGGAAGCGUCUGGAAAGGCGCGCGAUACAGGGUGACAGCCCCGUACACAAAAAUGCACAUGCUGUGAGCUCGAUGAGUAGGGCGGGACACGUGGUAUCCUGUCUGAAUAUGGGGGGACCAUCCUCCAAGGCUAAAUACUCCUGACUGACCGAUAGUGAACCAGUACCGUGAGGGAAAGGCGAAAAGAACCCCGGCGAGGGGAGUGAAAAAGAACCUGAAACCGUGUACGUACAAGCAGUGGGAGCACGCUUAGGCGUGUGACUGCGUACCUUUUGUAUAAUGGGUCAGCGACUUAUAUUCUGUAGCAAGGUUAACCGAAUAGGGGAGCCRAAGGGAAACCGAGUCUUAACUGGGCGUUAAGUUGCAGGGUAUAGACCCGAAACCCGGUGAUCUAGCCAUGGGCAGGUUGAAGGUUGGGUAACACUAACUGGAGGACCGAACCGACUAAUGUUGAAAAAUUAGCGGAUGACUUGUGGCUGGGGGUGAAAGGCCAAUCAAACCGGGAGAUAGCUGGUUCUCCCCGAAAGCUAUUUAGGUAGCGCCUCGUGAAUUCAUCUCCGGGGGUAGAGCACUGUUUCGGCAAGGGGGUCAUCCCGACUUACCAACCCGAUGCAAACUGCGAAUACCGGAGAAUGUUAUCACGGGAGACACACGGCGGGUGCUAACGUCCGUCGUGAAGAGGGAAACAACCCAGACCGCCAGCUAAGGUCCCAAAGUCAUGGUUAAGUGGGAAACGAUGUGGGAAGGCCCAGACAGCCAGGAUGUUGGCUUAGAAGCAGCCAUCAUUUAAAGAAAGCGUAAUAGCUCACUGGUCGAGUCGGCCUGCGCGGAAGAUGUAACGGGGCUAAACCAUGCACCGAAGCUGCGGCAGCGACGCUKAUGCGUUGUUGGGUAGGGGAGCGUUCUGUAAGCCUGYGAAGGUGURCUGUGAGGYAUGCUGGAGGUAUCAGAAGUGCGAAUGCUGACAUAAGUAACGAUAAAGCGGGUGAAAAGCCCGCUCGCCGGAAGACCAAGGGUUCCUGUCCAACGUUAAUCGGGGCAGGGUGAGUCGACCCCUAAGGCGAGGCCGAAAGGCGUAGUCGAUGGGAAACAGGUUAAUAUUCCUGUACUUGGUGUUACUGCGAAGGGGGGACGGAGAAGGCUAUGUUGGCCGGGCGACGGUUGUCCCGGUUUAAGCGUGUAGGCUGGUUUUCCAGGCAAAUCCGGAAAAUCAAGGCUGAGGCGUGAUGACGAGGCACUACGGUGCUGAAGCAACAAAUGCCCUGCUUCCAGGAAAAGCCUCUAAGCAUCAGGUAACAUCAAAUCGUACCCCAAACCGACACAGGUGGUCAGGUAGAGAAUACCAAGGCGCUUGAGAGAACUCGGGUGAAGGAACUAGGCAAAAUGGUGCCGUAACUUCGGGAGAAGGCACGCUGAUAUGUAGGUGAAGUCCCUCGCGGAUGGAGCUGAAAUCAGUCGAAGAUACCAGCUGGCUGCAACUGUUUAUUAAAAACACAGCACUGUGCAAACACGAAAGUGGACGUAUACGGUGUGACGCCUGCCCGGUGCCGGAAGGUUAAUUGAUGGGGUYAGCGCAAGCGAAGCUCUUGAUCGAAGCCCCGGUAAACGGCGGCCGUAACUAUAACGGUCCUAAGGUAGCGAAAUUCCUUGUCGGGUAAGUUCCGACCUGCACGAAUGGCGUAAUGAUGGCCAGGCUGUCUCCACCCGAGACUCAGUGAAAUUGAACUCGCUGUGAAGAUGCAGUGUACCCGCGGCAAGACGGAAAGACCCCGUGAACCUUUACUAUAGCUUGACACUGAACAUUGAGCCUUGAUGUGUAGGAUAGGUGGGAGGCUUUGAAGUGUGGACGCCAGUCUGCAUGGAGCCGACCUUGAAAUACCACCCUUUAAUGUUUGAUGUUCUAACGUKGACCCGUAAUCCGGGUUGCGGACAGUGUCUGGUGGGUAGUUUGACUGGGGCGGUCUCCUCCUAAAGAGUAACGGAGGAGCACGAAGGUUGGCUAAUCCUGGUCGGACAUCAGGAGGUUAGUGCAAUGGCAUAAGCCAGCUUGACUGCGAGCGUGACGGCGCGAGCAGGUGCGAAAGCAGGUCAUAGUGAUCCGGUGGUUCUGAAUGGAAGGGCCAUCGCUCAACGGAUAAAAGGUACUCCGGGGAUAACAGGCUGAUACCGCCCAAGAGUUCAUAUCGACGGCGGUGUUUGGCACCUCGAUGUCGGCUCAUCACAUCCUGGGGCUGAAGUAGGUCCCAAGGGUAUGGCUGUUCGCCAUUUAAAGUGGUACGCGAGCUGGGUUUAGAACGUCGUGAGACAGUUCGGUCCCUAUCUGCCGUGGGCGCUGGAGAACUGAGGGGGGCUGCUCCUAGUACGAGAGGACCGGAGUGGACGCAUCACUGGUGUUCGGGUUGUCAUGCCAAUGGCACUGCCCGGUAGCUAAAUGCGGAAGAGAUAAGUGCUGAAAGCAUCUAAGCACGAAACUUGCCCCGAGAUGAGUUCUCCCUGAC